rnacentral:misc_RNA from 1 species
AAACAGCAAUAUCUUAUUUUAUAAUUCCAUGCCACAUGUUCCCUUGUUUGUUAUUUAAAAUGUUGUUUGGAUUACAACUGCAUACCAUAUAGCUUAUCCCAGAGCCAUUUUGGUGGGCUAGUAAAAAAUUCAGUGCUUUAAUUCAAAUGACAUGUUAGCACAUGUGUGAGUGUAGUUGGUUAUACCAUUUAUUUGCCUGAUCUCAUCUGACUAUAUUCUGCAUAAUGUUUAGGCCUCCUAUUUUUAUUUUAACCAAUGAAUUUGUUUAUUUACAGUGAG